CCUACGUGAGGCAGCAGUGGGGAAUAUUGGGCAAUGGGCGCAAGCCUGACCCAGCAACGCCGCGUGAAGGAAGAAGGCUUUCGGGUUGUAAACUUCUUUUAAUAGGGAAGAGCAGAAGACGGUACCUCUUGAAUAAGCCACGGCUAACUACGUGCCAGCAGCCGCGGUAAUACGUAGGUGGCAAGCGUUGUCCGGAUUUACUGGGUUGAAAGGGCGUGCAGCCGGGAAGACAAGUCAGAUGUGAAAUCCCGCGGCUCAACCGCGGAACUGCAUUUGAAACUGUUUUUCUUGAGUACCGGAGAGGGCAGCGGAAUUCGUUGUGUAGCGGUGAAAUGCGUAGAUAUAAGGAAGAACACCAGUGGCGAAGGCGGAUGACUGGACGGCAACUGACGGUGAGGCGCGAAAGCGUGGGGAGCAAACAGGAUUAGAUACCCUUGUAGUC
rnacentral:rRNA from 1 species